AGAGAUUCUCCUGCCUCAGCCUCCCGAGUAGCUGGAAUUACAGGGAAUCCUUCUACCUCCCACAGGCCUCUUGUUUGGGGUGGGUCACUCCUGUGAAGGCCGUGUGUAGCCAUGGAAUCAGGGCUGAGGAGGAGGUCACAAAACCCUGGAGAAUGGAAGGAUGAGUUAAGUUGGACCCUGAAAGGAGUCUUCUUGGAUUGGGCUGUGCCUCAGCUGUCCAUGGGGCCCAGGAAGUGGUCUCCUCAAGGUAUUUUUCUUAUAGAUUGAAGCCCUGCAUCAUUUCUUUCUCCCAGCCUCCUUCCUCC